UACGGGGGGGGCAAGCGUUGUUCGGAAUUACUGGGCGUAAAGGGCUCGUAGGCGGCCAACUAAGUCGGAUGUGAAAUCCCCAGGCUUAACCUGGGAACUGCAUCCGAUACUGGAUGGCUUGAAUCCGGGAGAGGGAUGCAGAAUUCCAGGUGUAGCGGUGAAAUGCGUAGAUAUCUGGAGGAAUACCCGUGGCGAAGGCGGAUCUCUGGACGGCUAACUGACGCUGAGGCGCGAAGGCCAGGGGAGCAAACGGG
rnacentral:rRNA from 1 species